CCUACGGGAGGCAGCAGUGAGGAAUAUUGGUCAAUGGACGAGAGUCUGAACCAGCCAAGUAGCGUGCAGGAUGACUGCCCUAUGGGUUGUAAACUUCUUUUAUACGGGAAUAAAAUGUUCCACGUGUGGGAUUUUGUCUGUCCCAUAUGAAUAAGGUUCGGCUAACUCCGUGCCAGCCGCCGCGGUAAUACUGAGGUUCCGAGCGUUCUCCGGUUUUAUUGGUUUAAAGGGAGCGUAGGUGGAUUGUUAAGUCAGUUGUGAAAGUUUGCGGCUAAACCGUAAAAUUGCAGUUGAAACGGGCAGUCUUGAGUACAGUAGAGGUGGGCGGAAUUCGUGGUGUAGCGGUGAAAUGCUUAGAUAUCACGAAGAACUCCGAUUGCGAAGGCAGCUCACUGGACUGCAACUGACACUGAGGCUCGAAAGUGUGGGUAUCAAACAGGAUUAGAUACCCCAGUAGUC
rnacentral:rRNA from 1 species